rnacentral:misc_RNA from 1 species
AAGGAGCACAUAGCCGACUGCAAGCAAAUGUCUUGCACGGUUGCUCAUGGGUGGAACGUUGACUACUCGGCACACUUGAUCCUGAUCUUCUCGGUAGUACUGCUUCGGCGUGGAACACGAGUGAGGGAAGGCAAGGGUGUCGGGCACGCUGUUGGGUAUCUGAAGGUACGGCCGUGAGGUCGCCUUCAGUUGCCGGCCCCGGUAAAGAUCUGCGAAAGUGGGUUGUGACGGGUGGUUGGUCGUUGUUUGAGAACUGCACAGUGGACGCGAGCAUCUG